GUUGAGCAUACUACCCUUAACAGAGCGAGCAGUAAUAUUAGACUGCCGGGAAGAUUUCUCUCCAGUUACUGGAGAUUUUGUUCAACACCCAAUUUCCUCAGCUCGAUCAGACCUUCGUCAACCUAUAUGGAAAUUGACCUCAGAUGUGUUUCUGCAUAGUCACUGUGAGGAGUCCAAACCUAAAAGGAAUUUCAUAUUCAAGGUUAAGCAUCUUAAAGAGCACAUCUGUCACAUUGAAAGAAAUUUUCCUUGCCAUCCAUUCUAUUUUCUAAUAUUUUGAGCUGCAAAAUGAAGAAAUAACAUAUCAGACACAAACAAUAUCACACGGAAAAGAUAACGAGACAUGUGAGGACCAACUAAUGUACGCAAUUGAAAAGGUGCUGGUGAAGAAAAUUGAUAGUAUGAAGAAAUCAACACUUUAUUCAUCUGAAACAUAGUUUGGCCACUUUGCUCCAUCUCCAAUAAAAGCGCCCGUUCCCGUUUCUUACAAUGGAGCUGUCUGAUAGUAGUGGAAUUCGUAGCACUCAUAUAAUGAGAACAUUGGUUGUUCAUAAUGUAAAUGCAUACCCAAUAUUACCUUAAAGUUUAACUAGCUGUUCAUCACAUCUUUUUGUGCAAAACCACUGAAGUUGAGUACUUUGGCUAUUCCAGG
rnacentral:lncRNA from 1 species